GGGCGGUUAGCUCAACUGGCAGAGCGCCACCCUUACACGGUGGAUGUUACAGGUUCAAAUCCUGUACCGCCCA
rnacentral:tRNA from 1 species